rnacentral:rRNA from 1 species
CACGUAGUUAGCCGGCGCUUCUUCUGCAGGUACCGUCACUUUCGCUUCUUCCCUGCUGAAAGAGGUUUGCAACCCGAAGGCCGUCAUCCCUCACGCGGCGUCGCUGCAUCAGGCUUUCGCCCAUUGUGCAAUAUUCCCCACUGCUGCCUCCCGUAGGAGUCUGGGCCGUGUCUCAGUCCCAGUGUGGCCGGUCGCCCUCUCAGGCCGGCUACCCGUCGUCGCCUUGGUAGGCCAUUACCCCCACAACAAGCUGAUAGGCCGCGGGCUCAUCCUUCACCGCCGGAGCUUUUAACCCCGUCCCAUGCGGGACAGAGUGUUAUCCGGUAUUACGACCCCGUUUCCAGGGCUUUGUCCCAGAGUGAAGGGCAGAUUGCCCAGUGUUACUCACCCGUUCGCCACUAACUCCACCCGAAAGGCUUCAUCGUUCGACUUGCAUGUAGUUAAGCACGCCGCCAGCCGUUCGUCCUGACGCCAGGACUCAAACGUCU